rnacentral:rRNA from 1 species
CCUACGGGGGGCAGCAGUGGGGAAUAUUGCACAAUGGGGGGAACCCUGAUGCAGCGACGCCGCGUGAGUGAAGAAGUAUUUCGGUAUGUAAAGCUCUAUCAGCAGGGAAGAAAAUGACGGUACCUGACUAAGAAGCCCCGGCUAACUACGUGCCAGCAGCCGCGGUAAUACGUAGGGGGCAAGCGUUAUCCGGAUUUACUGGGUGUAAAGGGAGCGUAGACGGUUAUGCAAGUCUGAAGUGAAAGCCCAAGGCUCAACUUCGGAAUUGCCUCUGAUACUGUUCGGCUAGAGAGUAGUUGCGGUAGGCGGAAUGUAUGGUGUAGCGGUGAAAUGCUUAGAGAUCAUACAGAACACCAGUGGCGAAGGCGGCUUGCUGGGUCGAUACUGACAUUGAGGCACGAAAGCGUGGGGAGCAAACAGGAUUAGAUACCCCAGUAGUC